AGAGUUUGAUCCUGGCUCAGGAUGAACGCUGGCGGCGUGCCUAAUACAUGCAAGUCGAACGCACAGCGAAAGGUGCUUGCACCUUUCAAGUGAGUGGCGAACGGGUGAGUAACACGUGGAUAACCUACCUCAAGGUUGGGGAUAACAUUUGGAAACAGAUGCUAAUACCGAAUAAAACUUCGUAUCGCAUGAUACAAGGUUAAAAGGCGCUACGGCGUCACCUAGAGAUGGAUCCGCGGUGCAUUAGUUAGUUGGUGGGGUAAAGGCCUACCAAGACAAUGAUGCAUAGCCGAGUUGAGAGACUGAUCGGCCACAUUGGGACUGAGACACGGCCCAAACUCCUACGGGAGGCUGCAGUAGGGAAUCUUCCACAAUGGGCGAAAGCCUGAUGGAGCAACGCCGCGUGUGUGAUGAAGGCUUUCGGGUCGUAAAGCACUGUUGUAUGGGAAGAACAACUAGAGUAGGGAAUGACUUUAGUUUGACGGUACCAUACCAGAAAGGGACGGCUAAAUACGUGCCAGCAGCCGCGGUAAUACGUAUGUCCCGAGCGUUAUCCGGAUUUAUUGGGCGUAAGGCGAGCGCAGACGGUUGAUUAAGUCUGAUGUGAAAGCCCGGAGCUCAACUCCGGAAAGGCAUUGGAAACUGGUCAACUUGAGUGCAGUAGAGGUAAGUGGAACUCCAUGUGUAGCGGUGGAAUGCGUAGAUAUAUGGAAGAACACCAGCGGCGAAGGCGGCUUACUGGACUGUAACUGACGUUGAGGCUCGAAAGUGUGGGUAGCAAACAGGAUUAGAUACCCUGGUAGUCCACACCGUAAACGAUGAACACUAGGGGGUUGGGAGGGUUUCCCCCUUUUAGGGCGGAAGCUAAAGCCAUUUAAGGUGUUUCCGCUUGGGGGAGUAGGACCCCAAAGUUGAAAACUCAAAGGAAUGAGGGGGGCCCCGCACAAGGGGGGGACCUUGUGGUUUAAUUUGGAAGCACCGCGAAGACCCUUACCCGGUUCUUUGCAUCCCUUGGAGGCUUUUAGAAGAUAGAAGUGUUUUCUUGGGAGACAAAGUGACCAGGUGGGGCAUGUUCGUGGUCAGCUCGUGUCGUGAGAGGUGGGUUUAAGUCCCGCAACGAGCGCAACCCCUUAUUGUUUAGUGCCAGCAUUCAGAUGGGCACUCUAGCGAGACUGCCGGUGACAAACCGGAGGAAGGCGGGGACGACGUCAGAUCAUCAUGCCCCUUAUGACCUGGGCUACACACGUGCUACAAUGGCGUAUACAACGAGUUGCCAACCUGUGAAGGUGAGCUAAUCUCUUAAAGUACGUCUCAGUUCGGACUGCAGUCUGCAACUCGACUGCACGAAGUCGGAAUCGCUAGUAAUCGCGGAUCAGCACGCCGCGGUGAAUACGUUCCCGGGUCUUGCACACACCGCCCGUCA
rnacentral:rRNA from 1 species